UUUUAUUGUAUUCACAAGGGAAUAUUUAGACAAUAUGCCCCCCUUUCUUGUGUAUAUGCUUUAUUUGAUAUUUGGACUAACUGAUAUGUUGGACACUAAUGGUUUAUUUUUAAAUGAUUUACAUAUGAUUUUGAUAAAGAGACAUUUAGGUGAUAUGCCUUUUAUCUUAUUUACAUAAGGACAAGUUUUAACCAGGACCAAUCAGUAUGUAUUUUUAAACUAUCACGCCCAUGGAGGUGGAUACAAAUUCAGAUGGACAGCAAACCCAAGACGUGAUCUGAGGAAGCACGUCAGUACGUGACAUGCAAAUCUCCUACUCCCGGAAGUGUUUAGCUACCUGAGGACCGCAAGUGCUAGCCGCGUGUCAGAAGGUUUGAGGACUAACACUAUCAGUGUGUAAAUAUAUUGUAGAAUCUGCACUACUAUAGCACUUUAUUUAGUGCAUUAUACUGCACCUUCACCAUUUUGGUUUUCACUUCAUGUAUAUUCAUGUAUAUAUUUUUAGGGCCCUACAUUUAUGGCAGAAACUUGGGUGCAGACACAACAUGGGUUUACCCAUUACAGCAUUAUAUUACACAAGAAUAUGUACAAAGGAUCAGCGCUAAUAUACUAGAUCUUACAGAGAUAAAUGUAAGGCAGCACACCUGAAAAUAGGGCUCCCUCACAGGCCCUAUAGAGUAGACAAAACUAAAAAAGGUGAAAGGGGAGGUGGCGCCACAGGUGAAAUAAAAUAUAAAUAAAUAAAUAAACCUGAUUAUAAACUAUACAAGCACGUAUACAAGACACUACAUAAGAGAAAAUACAUACAAGAUAAAAAACCAAAAAGAGCUUGAAAAAAUUAAUAAUAAUCAAGAGUCCAAAGAUAAAGUCCAAAAUAGUCUAUGCCUGAUAAAUGCAGCAACAAAAAGUCCAAAUAAAACCUUGUAUAAGAAGUCGGUCACAAUCUUGUCAGGGGAAGUAUUCCUCAGUAAUGUAUGGACAUGGGAUAUUCGUGAAAUCCAUAUGAAAUCAGGUUUAUUUAUUUAUUUAUAUUAUAUUACACAAGCCUUUCUCUUUUGAUCAAAGACUCCCAAC